ACCACGGUGGUGCAGUGGUAGCACACGUUCCCGGCAUGGAUGAACCGCUGGUUCGACUCCUGUUUAAGGUC